rnacentral:lncRNA from 1 species
ACUCCCUUUCUGUCUCUCAUUAGAAAAGAACAGGUCUCUAAGAGAUAACAACAAAGCAUAACAAAACAGAAUAAGAGCCUCACUCAUGCUGCCCCAACGCUGGCAGUCGUCAUCCAGGAUCUGCUUUCCCACAAGGGCCCUCGUGUAGCAUCUGUGACCACACGGUUUGUGUUUAAUUGCUCUUCACCUGUUACCAUUAAGUUCUGGCCUUUAUUCUUCACCCUAUCUGUUGGCAGCUAUAAGAAAUUAAAGACUCUACAAAGAGCCACAUUCUACUAGUCAUUUGCUUUGUGCAUACCUUCAAGGACACCUUUUUAUCACCCAGCUCUGUGGAGGCUUUGGUUGAAGUUCCACUAGUAAAUUGUCAACCUUUCUGCCUCAGAUCAGCAAGCCUUCCCAACACAAGACUUCGCAGAUGACCCUUUCAACAGAUACGAGGACAAUUCAACAGAGGAGUGGAACCUGUGGACAUGGAAGACACUGAAAAUAUACUCCAUCUUCAGAACAGCUGAGACACUAUACAAUUACUAUCUUCACUUUACAGAUGACAGUUUGGAUGUGAACUUGGCAACAUUCCUAGGAAUUCAUAGCUGGUGACAAAAAAAAAAAUAUAGUCAAGGCCAAACAGUGCAUAUAUUUUUCUGUUGUCAUUUGCCUGCCUUUUUAUUUUUCUAAUUAUUUUUUUAUUCUUCUUUCACACACUACAUCUCAACCACAGUUUCUCCUCCUUCCAUCCUUUCCAGGUGCCCCACAUGCCUCUCCUCUCCCCUAGAUCCACUCCUCCAUUUCCCUUCAGAAAACAGAAGGCCUUCCAGGGAUAUGAACCAAACAUGGGAUUGAAAGAUCCUGGCAGAAUGUAAAAGGACAGAAGCCCUGAAAUUGGCAAGAUAGACGUCAGUGUUAGCAGAACUAGCUUCACUGAUUUAGAAAAAUAGAAGUGCACAAUGCUCUGGCCACUCCUUGAACCUGUGUGUCUGCCAAUGUUCUGACCAGGUGUGUGCCCAUUGCUGCACCUUCAUUAGACUCUUUCCUUGUACCCCUCCCAUACCCAUUUCUUGAGAAUAGACAUUGUUUAGAUCUGGAAAUCCCCUAAUCUCCCCCUUCUCCUUUCCCCCCUGAGGGCCUAUAAAAACUGGGAACUCUUUUCCCUCGAGGUCGACUCCUCUACCCCUGCGUGGGAUAUGAGUCGUCCCCAGAGCUCUGGCUUUCCCCGAAUAAAGCCUCAUGUGGUUUGCAACAA